ACCCCAGGUCAGACGGGAUUACCCGCU
rnacentral:rRNA from 1 species